rnacentral:tRNA from 1 species
GCCUGGGUGGCUCAGUCGGUUAAGCAUCUGACUUUGGCUCAGUCAUGAUCUCAUGGUUCAUGGGUUCGAGCCCCAUAUCGGGCG